UACGGAGGAUGCAAGCGUUAUCCGGAUUUAUUGGGUUUAAAGGGUGCGUAGGCGGCCUUUUAAGCGUGAGGUGAAAUGCCACGGCUCAACCGUGGAACUGCCUCGCGAACUGGGGGGCUUGAAUGUCCGUGCCGUGGGAGGAAUGUGUGGUGUAGCGGUGAAAUGCAUAGAGAUCACACAGAACACCGAUUGCGAAGGCAUCUCACGAACGGAUGAUUGACGCUGAGGCACGAAAGCGUGGGGAUCAAAC
rnacentral:rRNA from 1 species